rnacentral:misc_RNA from 1 species
AAUAAACAAGCUCCUUGCAUAUCACCUCCAUAAUUAUAUUUGAGAUAGAAAGACAUCAAUGAGAUAGAAUACUUUAUGCAAGGCCAACACAUCAUGGCGUUGCUUAUCAUCGCUCAAACCACACCAAACACAGCCCAUACACAUCAUCAGAACUAAAAUAUUUUUGGAACUAUGAUCUAUAUAUGCCCAUACCAAUGUGAAACCCACAUAAAACAUAAGGCCAGGUCGGUUGUUCAGCUCCUGAACAUUUGUAAUUGAUGCGGGCCUUGGACAGAAAGGCAGAACUUUUUUUUAACUAA